UGAAGGUGAUGGCUCCUCACGGUGGUUUGUGGAUGGCACCGUGGGCAGUGCUGGUAAUGCCAAUGGUGAGACGAUGCCAGGGA
ensembl:snoRNA